AACGAACGCUGGCGGCAUGCCUAACACAUGCAAGUCGAACGAGACCUUCGGGUCUAGUGGCGCACGGGUGCGUAACGCGUGGGAACCUGCCCUAGGGUUCGGGAUAACCUGUCGAAAGACGGGCUAAUACCGGAUACGUCCUGUGCUUUUCGAAGCACAGGGGAAAGAUGGGGAUCCGUAAGGACCUAUCACCCUUGGAUGGGCCCGCGGCCUAUCAGCAGUUGGUGAGGUAAUGGCUCACCAAGGCUAAGACGGGUAGCUGGUCUGAGAGGAUGGUCAGCCACACUGGAACUGAGACACUGUCCAGACACCUACGGUGGCUGCAGUCG
rnacentral:rRNA from 1 species